rnacentral:rRNA from 1 species
AUUGAACGCUGGCGGCAUGCCUUACACAUGCAAGUCGAACGGUAACGGGCCUUCGGGUGCCGACGAGUGGCGAACGGGUGAGUAAUACAUCGGAACGUGCCCGAUCGUGGGGGAUAACGAGGCGAAAGCUUUGCUAAUACCGCAUACGAUCUACGGAUGAAAGCAGGGGACCGCAAGGCCUUGCGCGGACGGAGCGGCCGAUGGCAGAUUAGGUAGUUGGUGGGCUAAAAGCUUACCAAGCCGACGAUCUGUAGCUGGUCUGAGAGGAUGAUCAGCCACACUGGGACUGAGACACGGCCCAGACUCCUACGGGAGGCAGCAGUGGGGAAUUUUGGACAAUGGGCGCAAGCCUGAUCCAGCCAUGCCGCGUGCAGGAUGAAGGCCUUCGGGUUGUAAACUGCUUUUGUACGGAACGAAAAGCCUUCUUUUAAUACAGGAGGGUCAUGACGGUACCGUAAGAAUAAGCACCGGCUAACUACGUG